AUACGGAGGAUCCGAGCGUUAUCCGGAUUUAUUGGGUUUAAAGGGUGCGUAGGUGGUUUGAUAAGUCAGCGGUGAAAGUUUGCAGCUUAACUGUAAAAAUGCCGUUGAAACUGUCGGACUUGAGUGUAAAUGAGGUAGGCGGAAUGCGUGGUGUAGCGGUGAAAUGCAUAGAUAUCACGCAGAACUCCGAUUGCGCAGGCAGCUUACUAAACUACUACUGACGCUCAGGCACGAAGGCGUGGGGAUC
rnacentral:rRNA from 1 species